UUUCCGUAGGUGAACCUGCGGAAGGAUCAUUAAAGAUUCGACCUUCGGGUCUAUCUUCUCUUCAGCUGUGCGCUUCGGCUGCACGCUGUUGAACUUCACACACCUGUGCACACUUCGGUUGUGGCUAGUUAACUCUGGUCAUUACCGCUUUUACAUUUAACAACCAAGUCUAGAAUGUCAAUUACAAUAAAAAUAACAACUUUCAACAACGGAUCUCUUGGCUCUCGCAUCGAUGAAGAACGCAGC
rnacentral:misc_RNA from 1 species